rnacentral:rRNA from 1 species
GAAUCGCUAGUAAUCGUGGAUCAGCAUGCCGCGGUGAAUACGUUCCCGGGCCUUGACACACCGCCCGUCACACCACGAGAGUUGGUAACACCCGAAGUCGGUGAGGUAACCUUUUGGAGCCAGCCGCCGAAGGUGGGACCAAUGAUUGGGGUGAAGUCGUAACAAGGUAGCCGUAUCGGAAGGUGCGGCUGGAUCACCUCCUUU